AUGAGUGCAUUUAUAGAAUACUCAGUUGUAUAUUUCCAUUGAGAGACUUUUCUUGGAAUGCUGGACUGCAGCAUGAAAGUUUUAGCUGUUGACUGGCUCAACUUUAAAGAAGCUUCUACACACUGGAAAUUCUAUUAAGGUGUGUAUAGAGCUGCAUCAUUUUUGCUUGAUGGCUGAAUAAUAUGUAUUCAACAUUACCCCUCAUUUUACCUGCUAGAGGAAAGGAGGAAUAAUAUGGAAACACAUGGAGGUUUGAGCAGAGCAGUGGUGGAGUCCAGGGGUAUGUUUGGAAGUAUGCUGUAAAUCCCCUCAGUUAAUGUGGUAGUACUGUUGCCAGCUAGGGUAUCUGUCUUGGUGUAUUUUGACUUCUCUUGGAAAUUGGUGAAUCUUUCUCUCUCCUCUCUUCUCUCUUUUUU
rnacentral:lncRNA from 1 species